AGUGAACGCUGGCGGUAGGCCUAACACAUGCAAGUCGAACGGCAGCACAGUAAGCGCUUGCUCUUACGGGUGGCGAGUGGCGGACGGGUGAGGCAUACAUCGGAAUCUACUUUUUCGUGGGGGACAACGUAGGGAAACUUACGCUACUACCGCAUACGACCUACGGGUGAAAGCAGGGGAUCUUCGGACCUUGCGCGAUUGAAUGAGCCGAUGUCGGAUUAGCUAGUUGGCGAGGUAAAGGCCCACCAAGGCGACGCUGCGUAGCCGGCCUGAGAGGAUGAUCGGCCACACUGGAACUGAGACACGGGCCAGACUCCUACGGGAGGCAGCAGGUGGGAAUAUUUGGAAAUGGGGGAAAGCCUGAAGGAGCCAAGCCGCGUGGGUGAAAAAGGUCUUCGGGUUGUAAAACCCUUUUUUUAGGGAAAAAAAAAAGUGUAAGUAACUACGCGCGUCUUGACGGUACCCAAAAAGAAAGCCACGGCUAACUUCGUG
rnacentral:rRNA from 1 species